rnacentral:misc_RNA from 1 species
GGAAGUAAAGUCGUAACAAGGUUCCCGUAGGUGAACCUGCGGAAGGAUCAUUAUUGUAUAACCGAGGUGCGAGGGCUGUCGCUGACCCGAAAGGUCGUGCACGCCCGAGUGCCCUCACACACAUCCAUCUCACCCCUAUGUGCACCACCGCGUGGGUCCCCCUUUGGCUUGUUCGGAGGGGGGCUUACGUUUUCACACAAACUUUGUAUGCAGUGUAGAAUGUAUUUUUUGUUUUUGCGAUCACGCAAUCAAUACAACUUUCAACAACGGAUCUCUUGGCUCUC